AUUGAACGCUGGCGGCAGGCCUAACACAUGCAAGUCGAGCGGAUGAAGGGAGCUUGCUCCUGGAUUCAGCGGCGGAAGGGUGAGUAAUGCAUAGGAAUCUGCCUGGUAGUGGGGGAUAACGUCCGGAAACGGGCGCUAAUACCGCAUACGUCCUGAGGGAGAAAGUGGGGGAUCUUCGGACCUCACGCUAUCAGAUGAGCCUAGGUCGGAUUAGCUAGUUGGUGGGGUAAAGGCCUACCAAGGCGAGGAUCCGUAACUGGUCUGAGAGGAUGAUCAGUCACACUGGAACUGAGACACGGUCCAUACUCCUACGGGAGGCAGCAGUGGGGAAUAUUGGACAAUGGGCGAAAGCCUUAUCCAGCCAUGCCGCGUGUGUGAAGAAGGUCUUCGGAUUGUAAAGCACUUUAAGUUGGGAGGAAGGGCAUUAAGUUAAUACCUUGCUGUUUUGACGUUACCAACAGAAUAAGCACCGGCUAACUUCGUG
rnacentral:rRNA from 1 species